CUUCAUUUCAAGUAAAAAGGCAAAGCACAAUUUUUCCCUUUUACAUAUGUAUUUCACAACAUCUAACACAUGGCUCCAUGCCGAAACCCUAAACUCAAAUUUUUGGAACUAUUUACUUACAUCCUACAAUCUAACCCUACAUACCUAGGAACAAACCCAUUUUGCAAACACGCCACACACAAAUCUGAAGAGCCAGAUCUUCCACACAUUUGGUCUUGUUGCUUGAAGGGUGUUGAUUUCAGCUUCCAUUUCCCUCCUAGCUCGUAAUACACCAGGAAUCAGUUCCUUUGAUCUCUCACACAUUGGAGGGUCACACUAUAUAAAGAAGGUGCAUCCACCCACAUCUUGGCUUCGAGGACAAGUGAGAAAUCUUCUUCCCGGGUUUAGGUUCGUUCACGAGAUCUUCAUCUGCAUCGGAAAAGCACAUCUGCAUACAUUCAACUCUAUGUGCGUUCUGAUUUUUUUUUUACUACCUAUGAGAGAGAAGGUAGGAGGUAAUAUGGUGGUAAAGAAAUGGAGGGAAAUAAAUGGUGAAGUAUAUAAUAUAAGGGAAAUGUGUAUAAUGCCCAUAUUGCCCUUCACUUAUUUUGAAAAAAUUCUUGAAAAUAUCAUUAGAGGGAUCAACUGACGGUUUUGAUGGUCAAACAAAUGAAAACCGUCAUUUUAGACUGGCCCUACUCAUUUUUUAAAAGUUUGGUAUCUCCGGUGGCACAAACUAAAGGUUAAGGGCAAAGUCUGCUAAUAAACGAAAGGUUUGGUAUCUCGACU
rnacentral:lncRNA from 1 species